GACAGAGGAGGCAAGCGUUGUUCGGAAUCACUGGGCUUAAAGCGCGUGUAGGCGGCCGGGAAAGUGUCGUGUGAAAUCCCACGGCUCAACCGUGGAACUGCACGGCAUACUACCCGGCUCGAGGUCGGUAGAGGUGCCUGGAACUCUAGGUGGAGCGGUGAAAUGCGUAGAUAUCUAGAGGAACGCCGGAGGCGAAAGCGGGGCACUGGGCCGAAUCUGACGCUGAGACGCGAAAGCGUGGGGAGCAAACAGG
rnacentral:rRNA from 1 species